rnacentral:lncRNA from 1 species
GUUUGGGGGAGGUCACACACGUUUCUGAGUGGGAAUGGAUGGGCGUGAAUGACGUGCCCUCUUAAAAAGCACAACAGUCCUUUAAGAGGAGCAAAAUUGAGUUUUCCCAUUUUGGCCAAGAUUUUGAAGACAGUUCAAUGUAUUCUACAUUUGACAUAAGAUGAGAACUUUCUAAAGUAUUCUCUCCAAGAGCGUAAACGAUGACUACCCCAGCCCUGCUGCCCCUCUCUGGACGUAGGAUACCACCUCUGAACCUGGGGCCGCCUUCCUUCCCACAUCACAGGGCUACCUUGAGACUUUCUGAGAAGUUUAUUCUUCUCCUUAUUCUUAGUGCCUUCAUCACUCUGUGUUUUGGGGCAUUCUUUUUCCUUCCAGACUCUUCAAAACACAAACGCUUUGAUUUGGGUUUAGAAGAUGUGUUAAUUCCACAUGUAGAUGCCGGUAAAGGGGCUAAAAACCCCGGAGUCUUCCUGAUCCAUGGACCCGAUGAACAUAGACACAGGGAAGAGGAAGAACGUCUGAGAAAUAAAAUUCGAGCUGAUCAUGAGAAGGCCUUGGAAGAAGCAA